rnacentral:rRNA from 1 species
CCUACGGGUGGCAGCAGUGAGGAAUAUUGGUCAAUGGACGCAAGUCUGAACCAGCCAUGUCGCGUGCAGGAAGACGGCUCUAUGAGUUGUAAACUGCUUUUGUACGAGGGUAAACCCAGAUACGCGUAUCUGGCUGAAAGUAUCGUACGAAUAAGGAUCGGCUAACGCCGGGCCAGCAGCCGCGGUAAUACGGAGGAUUCAAGCGUUAUCCGGAUUUAUUGGGUUUAAAGGGUGCGUAGGCGGUCGGAUAAGUUAGAGGUGAAAUCCCGCGGCUCAACUCCGGAACUGCCUCUGAUACUGUUGGGCUAGAGAGUAGUUGAGGUAGGCGGAAUGUAUGGUGUAGCGGUGAAAUGCUUAGAGAUCAUACAGAACACCGAUUGCGAAGGCAGCUUACCAAGCUACUACUGACGUUGAGGCACGAAAGCGUGGGGAGCAAACAGGAUUAGAUACCCGAGUAGUC